AGUGAACGCUGGCGGUAGGCCUAACACAUGCCAGUCGAACGGCAGCACAGUAAGAGCUUGCUCUUACGGGUGGCGAGUGGCGGACGGGUGAGGAAUACAUCGGAAUCUACUUUUUCGUGGGGGAUAACGUAGGGAAACUUACGCUAAUACCGCAUACGACCUACGGGUGAAAGCAGGGGAUCUUCGGACCUUGCGCGAUUGAAUGAGCCGAUGUCGGAUUAGCUAGUUGGCGGGGUAAAGGCCCACCAAGGCGACGAUCCGUAGCUGGUCUGAGCGGAUGAUCAGCCACACUGGAGCUGAGACACGGUCCAGACUCCUACGAGAGGCAGCAGUGGGGAAUAUUGGACAAUGGGCGGAAGCCUGAUCCAGCCAUACCGCGUGGGUGAAGAAGGCCUUCGGGUUGUAAAGCCCUUUUGUUGGGAAAGAAAAGCAGCAGGUUAAUACCCCGCUGUUCUGACGGUACCCAAAGAAUAAGCACCGGCUAACUUCGUG
rnacentral:rRNA from 1 species